AGAAGGAGGUUUUGAAGCUAAGCCUGUUAAAGAUUGCAAGGAACAUUGACAAUACUGUUAGUACAUGUUUGUCAUAGAGUAUGUACCACUGCAAUUUUUGCAUUAUUCUAAUGCUUAGUUUACUCAUUUAAUUUGUAUAGAGUAUAUAGUUAAAAGGGUUCUGCAUAUAUUGUUGUAUAACUGAUGUUGGUUUCGAGGUUCGAGAAAG
rnacentral:misc_RNA from 1 species